UCAUACGAGAGUACCAAUAAUUUAUUGUACAGAUAUCUAACUAAAUUCAUGUAAAAAGUUAUACAGUCAUAUUAAAUACAAAACUAUUUAGUCCUGGCAGAGACCAGUGGUCUCAGCUCUUUGAGAGAAACGACAUGUUUCUUUUAAGCCUCAGUAGUGGUUGGUACUUCAGUAGUUUUUACCUCUCUGCGUACACG